rnacentral:tRNA from 1 species
GGCGGGGUAGCUCAGCUGGUUAGAGCGUGGGCUUCAUAAGCCCGAGGUCGGGAGUUCAAGUCUCCCCCCCGCUACCA